rnacentral:rRNA from 1 species
UACAGAGGGUGCAAACGUUGCUCGGAAUCAUUGGGCGUAAAGCGCACGUAGGCGGUCCAGCAAGUCGGGUGUGAAAUCCCUCAGCUCAACUGAGGACGUGCAUCCGAAACUGGCGAGCUUGAGUACUGAAGAGGAUCGCGGAAUUCCCGGUGUAGAGGUGAAAUUCGUAGAUAUCGGGAGGAACACCAGUGGCGAAGGCGGCGAUCUGGGCAGAUACUGACGCUGAGGUGCGAAAGCGUGGGGAGCAAACAGG